CAUGGAUGGAGGAUCUCCUCAACUAUGGUGUUGUCAAGUGAACUGGGUGCUGGAGGGAUGAAAAACCGGCAUCAAUUCAUGACAACAUAGUAACAGCAAAGUCUCUGAUGGUGGUAGAGAGGCCAUGACAUUCAGCUCUAAAUAAGAAGUCUGCGCAAAGUUGGAAAAAUAAAGAAGAGGUGUGCAUGGCAUCACCCAAAAAACAGCGGACUCCAGACAGAGCCGGUUCCAAGCAACGCAAACAAACGCAAGCAAAAAGACCCACUCUCCCAUACUGAGGAAAACCUGCUCUAAUCGUGACUGCAACCAGGUCAGAGGCUGUCUGGAGGAACUAUGAGCCUCCGAUCCUGACCCCGCUUCUCCAAGCUGCCCAACCACUGUUAGAAAAAUGUAAAUGUAAUCAUUUUAUUUUUAUCAAGCUACAGGCAUUUGGUUUGUUUUAAGAGUUUGCUUUCAGGAAGGUUCUGUUGUUUUUAACCUUAGAUAAGGGAGAGCAAAUGGUUUUCCCAGAUAAGGAAUGUCUCCAUUAUCCAACUUUGCAUGUAGCUGGUGAUUUGAUUAUCACCCACAAUGAAACUUGCUCCCUUCUUUGUUUUCCAACCCCCAUGUUGUAAACUCAAGACUGUGAUUAAAUCCUCCUGACCCCAUGUGAUGUGUGACAAUAAAGACAAGGGGGCAGAGGCAGUCCGGGGCAGUCGAACUCAAGCUUGUGAAAGAACAGGUCUCAUG